UUGGUUGUUUAUGUGAUACUCAUGCUAGUUGCUUCUAUCUUUUUUAUUACUGGAUUUUACUGGUUUCUCUUAGGAUGGGGAUUUUACUGGGUGGUGGAUAACUUAUGGCUAUCUAGAAGUUGUUUUUGCUUUUUUUUUUUUCUUGAUGCAUUUACCAGUUGGGUAAGCAGGGUCUUGGAUCCAGAAGGCAGUGCAUCUGGAGAUGUUGUUACAUCAGUUAAAAGCUGGUCUGUGUUUUUUGCAUAAUAAAAGAAAGGGAAGACAUAAAGCAUAGUAAGAAGAAUAGCAUUAGAAAAGGUGAUAAUUCCUCUUUGAUUUUUUAUUUGUAAGCUGUAAAGUUGAUUUUACUGUAUUUUCCUUUUUAAUGUUAGUGGGUUUUACAAAUGGUAGUAUCCUUUGCCCUGUGAUGGAAAAACUCAAUGUUGGAAACAAUGCCUUGGCUUGAUGAUUACUUUCCUUUUUUUUCCACGGUUCUUUAGUUUGUUUCUAGAUUACUUUGUGCCUGAUGAUGAAAACUUUUAUUUUUGUAUUGAUAUGUGCAUUGAUUUCAUUUUGAGCCUCCAUCUUUUCUGCUCUCACCAUCUUUGGUACUCACCAUGAUCCAUUAUUUUAUUUUAUUUAUUUAUUUAUUACUAUUUUCUCAUGUUGGCUGUGGUGAUGAUGAUCUGUGUUUGCUGUUGGUGGUGGUGAAUGCCAAAGGUGAUGGUUGAAGUGGUGGUGUUUAAACCUUGAAGAUGUGAUUAGUUCUUAAUGAAUUUUCAAUGUUCAUGAAAUUUCUAGCAUUAAUCUCUGAAGGCAUUUAUAUAUUAAAAUGGUCUCUUUUUACAGCUACAAAAUAUAUAUUUUAUUGCCUUAUCUAAUAAUAUGAAGAUAUUGUCAUUUUUUUUUUGUUAGUUUUCACUUUCUUUGCAUGCUUAUUUGCCCUGUGAUGGAAAAUCUAAUUUUCAGAAGCAGUUUCAUGGUUUUGCAUUAUAAGCCCUCUCUCUCUCUCUCUCUCUCUAUACAUACAUA